rnacentral:rRNA from 1 species
GACGAACGCUGGCGGCGUGCUUAACACAUGCAAGUCGAACGGUGAAGCGAGUGCUUGCACUCGUGGAUCAGUGGCGAACGGGUGAGUAACACGUGAGUAACCUGCCCAUCACUCUGGGAUAAGCACUGGAAACGGUGUCUAAUACUGGAAACGACCAACCCUUGCAUGGGGUGUUGGUGGAAAGAUUUAUCGGUGAUGGAUGGACUCGCGGCCUAUCAGCUUGUUGGCGGGGUAAUGGCCCACCAAGGCGACGACGGGUAGCCGGCCUGAGAGGGUGACCGGCCACACUGGGACUGAGACACGGCCCAGACUCCUACGGGAGGCAGCAGUGGGGAAUAUUGCACAAUGGGCGAAAGCCUGAUGCAGCGACGCCGCGUGAGGGAUGACGGCCUUCGGGUUGUAAACCUCUUUCAGCAGGGAAGAAGCGAAAGUGACGGUACCUGCAGAAGAAGCACCGGCUAACUACGUG